rnacentral:lncRNA from 1 species
AUGGAGUACAAGGCCCUGUGGGUCUCCCAGGGCCUGCAGGGCCUGCCGGCUCCCCUGGAGAAGAUGGAGACAAGGGUGAAAUUGGUGAACCGGGACAAAAAGGCAGCAAAGGUGACAAAGGAGAAAAUGGUCCUCCUGGUCCCCCAGGUCUUCAAGGUCCAGUUGGUGCCCCUGGAAUUGCUGGAGGUGAUGGUGAGCCAGGUCCCCGAGGUCAACAGGGGAUGUUUGGACAGAAAGGUGAUGAGGGUGCAAGAGGUUUCCCAGGACCGCCUGGUCCCAUAG